rnacentral:tRNA from 1 species
GGCCUGCUAGCUCAGUCGGUUAGAGCGUCGUGCUAAUAACGCGAAGGUCGUAGGUUCCAUCACUGCGCAGGCCA